AAAUAAUAUACUAUAUAUAUUAAAGCCAUAAGCUCUACAUUUCCACAACCAUAUUUGAUUAGAUAUAAAGAGAUGGAGAAGUUUUCAUUCAAUUUGUUUAUAUUCGCUGCCAUCUUAAUCUUUGCAACUCAUUCAGAGAUGAUGGCAGAGGCAAGAGGACCUGUCAUUUCGUGUAGAUGCAGUGAAAUCGAAGACUGUCAAGGUAUUUGCGUCGUGUGCCCCAACUAUAAUUGCAUUAAUAAUCUUUGUACUUGCCUUUCAGACGCACCUCCAUUUCCGUAAUCUUAGAAUCCACACACUUUUAUAGUUAAAUUAAAUGGUGGGAUUUUUUGUGAAAUUUUAAAUAAAUGAUCUUGUAAUGGAUUUAAUAAGAAAAAAAUUGUUAUUAUUGUUAUUUUAA